AUGCCAGACUCUAGAAGGCAAUUUUCUCCCGCUCGAGCUAGAUUGCAGGGCAGGGCCCCCACACCCACUGUGGUUUUCUGGCCCGCCCUCAUGCUCUGUGUUGGGAAGACCACCUGGGACUACCGGCUUUGCCUGCCCAGCUGCUCCAAGCCAGGCUGCAGGAGGAGAAGGAGGAGUCGCCAGUGGUAUGGUCGAGCAGAUGACAUGGCUCUGAAACUUGCCUCAUGAAGUUGGUGGUAGAGAUGGAGACUGCAGCUCAACUGGAGCGAGUGUAUGAAGAAAGGGCUUCAGCAGAAACAGAGGCUGAAGCCUGUGUGCUGGGGGCCGAGAGGCCAGAGGAGAAUGUGAUGAGACAUAGAAUUGGUAGUGCAGGAAGUUGGAAGAUCAAGUACCGUGAUGUUGGUGCUGGCUGCUUGUGUUAAACUGCCUAGGUUUUAAUCUACGGUAAUUUUCGCCCACCUGUGGGGCUCCCCUGGUGCCCCAGCCGUGAUGGGGUAACUGAACUGCCACUGGGGCCAAGCUGCCAGCGGCCCAGGAUCUGGCACUUGGAAGAGUUCUCAGAAGCACCCCUGGAUCAAACGAGGAGAAACAGACUUCAGCCAUACAUUAAAUACAUUCCCAUUGUAUUUAAAAAAGUGAAUAUUCUCAGGGAUUUCCACAUUUUUAAAAACUUCUUUUAAUUGAAACAUUUAAAAUAAAAUACCGUUGAGAUAACAACCAAGUUACAGUUCUUCCAGCAGCACCCAGCCAGCGAGAGCCCUCAGAUUUUAGAAUUUUAGAAGAGAAGAUUGUGGCCAUGUCUGGAAUUCAAAGAAGAACCAGUGAGAAGAGCUUGAUAGAACUGAUGGAUGCUAAGACAUCUAAUAUUAAAAUAGAAGGGCAAACUUAAAUGAUAAUAUAAAAUUAUAAUAUUAAUGGUAAUUAAGGAAGCCAUUAAUGUUGAAUUAUGUAUGUGUAUGUUAAACAUAUACAUAAAAUAUCAUGAACAUUAUAUUGUCUGUGCUGGUUUCAUUAAUGCUAAAUUAUAAAAUUAUUAAACUGUAUGAAUAACAUUUAAUAAUAUAAAAUUAUAAAUUGCUAUUGUUGAAUAGAACUUUAAAGUUGAAUAAAAGGAAUAUAUUAUUACUAAUAUGUUAGAUUUGAUAAAAUAGGAAAUUUAAACAUUUUAAUAAAAUGCUAAGUUUCCCAGUAGUAUUUGUAUGAAGUUAUUUGAGGUACCGUUUGUUCAGCAAAGAAUGUGACCACUACCACCACCCCAUCAUACUCCUUCACUCAUAAGACCAAC
rnacentral:lncRNA from 1 species